GACGAACGCUGGCGGCGUGCUUAACACAUGCAAGUCGAACGGAAAGGCCCUGCUUGCAGGGUACUCGAGUGGCGAACGGGUGAGUAACACGUGGGUGAUCUGCCCUGCACUUCGGGAUAAGCCUGGGAAACUGGGUCUAAUACCGGAUAGGAGCCAUUUUUAGUGUGAUGGUUGGAAAGUUUUUUCGGUGUAGGAUGAGCUCGCGGCCUAUCAGCUUGUUGGUGGGGUAAUGGCCUACCAAGGCGGCGACGGGUAGCCGGCCUGAGAGGGUGGACGGCCACAUUGGGACUGGGAUACGGCCCAGACUCCUACGGGAGGCAGCAGUGGGGAAUAUUGCACAAUGGGAGCAAGCCUGAUGCAGCGACGCCGCGUGGGGGAUGACGGCCUUCGGGUUGUAAACUCCUUUCGCUAGGGACGAAGCUUUUUGUGACGGUACCUAGAUAAGAAGCACCGGCUAACUACGUG
rnacentral:rRNA from 1 species